GGGGAUGUAGCUCAAAUGGUACAGCGCUGGCUUUGUAUGCGCGAGGCACAGGAUUCGAUCCCAUGCAUCUCCA